GAUGAACGCUGGCGGCGUGCCUAAUACAUGCAAGUCGAGCGAACGGACGAGAAGCUUGCUUCUCUGAUGUUAGCGGCGGACGGGUGAGUAACACGUGGAUAACCUACCUAUAAGACUGGGAUAACUUCGGGAAACCGGAGCUAAUACCGGAUAAUAUUUUGAAACGCAUGGUUCAAAAGUGAAAGACGGUCUUGCUGUCACUUAUAGAUGGAUCCGCGCUGCAUUAGCUAGUUGGUAAGGUAACGGCUUACCAAGGCAACGAUGCAUAGCCGACCUGAGAGGGUGAUCGGCCACACUGGAACUGAGACACGGUCCAGACUCCUACGGGAGGCAGCAGUAGGGAAUCUUCCGCAAUGGGCGAAAGCCUGACGGAGCAACGCCGCGUGAGUGAUGAAGGUCUUCGGAUCGUAAAACUCUGUUAUUAGGGAAGAACAUAUGUGUAAGUAACUGUGCACAUCGUGACGGUACCUAAUCAGAAAGCCACGGCUAACUACGUG
rnacentral:rRNA from 1 species